ensembl:processed_transcript
CGCGUUUCUGUGCACACGUGUAUCGUCCAGUUGCGUCUCGCGUAUUCUCCGAUCUGCAUCGCAAACUCUACGCCAACGAGGGACUUCUUCAAAGCAUCAGAGAAACUCGCACGACAAGAGAAACUCGGAUGAACCACUCCCACACACCUAGUCAGACUGGAAAGAUCCGACUGCAUCUCUUGACUUCUCGCCUUUAUUCUUCAUAUUUUGGGUCUGUUUCAGAUUUAAACGGGUCUGAUGGAGGAGACACUCCGUCAUGUCAAAACAAGAGGGAAAAUUGGCUCACUGAAGGGAAAAGACGAAACAUGUUUGACCUGCACUCAGUGUGGAAAGAGUCUGAGAUGCCAAAAGAGUCUCAGGAAUCACAUGAUGAUCCACACUGGAGAGAAACCGUUCACAUGUGCUCAGUGCGGGACGAGUUUCAGACAUUCAUCAAAUCAUAAUAAACACAUGUUGAUCCACACUGGAGAGAAAACACACAAAUGUGAUCAAUGCGGCAAAACAUUUUUAAGGGCUUUAUAUCUAAAGAGCCAUCUUAGAGUUCACACAAAGGAGAAACCUUAUUCAUGUUCAUUGUGUGAAAAGAGAUUUAGAGAUCAGUCAGAUUUAGAUACGCAUCAGAAGAUCCACACUGGUGUGAGAGAGCAUGUGUGCUUUGAGUGUGAGAAGACUUUUAUUAGAGCUGGAGAUCUGAAACUGCACCAGAGGAUUCACACUGGAGAGAAACCGUACACAUGCGUUCAGUGCGGGACGAGUUUUAUACGUUCAUCACAC